rnacentral:rRNA from 1 species
GACGAACGCUGGCGGCGUGCUUAACACAUGCAAGUCGAACGGUGAAGGGGUCUGCUUUUGUGGGCCCUGGAUGAGUGGCGAACGGGUGAGUAACACGUGAGUAACCUGCCCCCUUCUUCUGGAUAACCGCAUGAAAGUGUGGCUAAUACGGGAUAUUCUGGGUCUGUCGCAUGAUGGGUCUGGGAAAGAUUGCGCCUUUGGGUGUUGUUGGUGGGGGAUGGGCUCGCGGCCUAUCAGCUUGUUGGUGGGGUGAUGGCCUACCAAGGCGGUGACGGGUAGCCGGCCUGAGAGGGUGGACGGUCACACUGGGACUGAGACACGGCCCAGACUGCUACGGGAGGCAGCAGUGGGGAAUAUUGCACAAUGGGCGCAAGCCUGAUGCAGCGACGCCGCGUGAGAGAUGGAGGCCUUCGGGUUGUAAACCUCUUUCGCCAGUGAAGCAGGCCUGCUCCUUGUGGGUGGGUUGACGGUAGCUGGAUAAGAAGCGCCGGCUAACUACGUG